rnacentral:rRNA from 1 species
UGGAGGGCAAGUCUGGUGCCAGCAGCCGCGGUAAUUCCAGCUCCAAUAGCGUAUAUUAAAGUUGUUGCAGUUAAAAAGCUCGUAGUUGAAUUUCGGGGUCAUCAGGUUGGUCGUGCCACUGGUAUGCACUGGCCUUGGUGAUUCCUCCUUCUUGUAGAGCCGUGAUGCCAUUAAUUUGGUGUUGCGGGGAAACAGGACUGUUACUUUGAAAAAAUUAGAGUGUUUAAAGCAGGCUCACGCUUGAAUACAUUAGCAUGGAAUAAUAAAAUAGGACGUUCGAUCCUAUUUUGUUGGUUUCUAGGGUUGACGUAAUGAUUAAUAGGGAUAGUUGGGGGCAUUAGUAUUCAAUUGUCAGAGGUGAAAUUCUUGGAUUUAUUGAAGACUAACUACUGCGAAAGCAUUUGCCAAGGAUGUUUUCAUUAAUCAAGAACGAAAGUUAGGGGAUCGAAGACGAUCAGAUACCGUCGUAGUCUUAACCAUAAACUAUGCCGACUAGGGAUCGGAUGAUGUUAAUUUUUUAAUGACUCAUUCGGCGCCUUACGGGAAAC